rnacentral:rRNA from 1 species
UAGGGAAUCUUCCACAAUGGACGCAAGUCUGAUGGAGCAACGCCGCGUGAGUGAAGAAGGUCUUCGGAUCGUAAAGCUCUGUUGUUGGUGAAGAAGGAUAGAGGCAGUAACUGGUCUUUAUUUGACGGUAAUCAACCAGAAAGUCACGGCUAACUACGUGCCAGCAGCCGCGGUAAUACGUAGGUGGCAAGCGUUGUCCGGAUUUAUUGGGCGUAAAGCGAGCGCAGGCGGAAUGAUAAGUCUGAUGUGAAAGCCCACGGCUCAACCGUGGAACUGCAUCGGAAACUGUCAUUCUUGAGUGCAGAAGAGGAGAGUGGAACUCCAUGUGUAGCGGUGGAAUGCGUAGAUAUAUGGAAGAACACCAGUGGCGAAGGCGGCUCUCUGGUCUGCAACUGACGCUGAGGCUCGAAAGCAUGGGUAGCGAACAGGAUUAGAUACCCUGGUAGUCCAUGCCGUAAACGAUGAGCGCUAGGUGUUGGGGACUUUCCGGUUCUCAGUGCCGCAGCAAACGCAUUAAGCGCUCCGCCUGGGGAG